UGGGAGAGUAACGGCUCACACAAGGCACACGUAGCGGCUUGAAGGCACGUCACACCUGGACUGAGACCGUAGACUCCUACGGGAGGCAGCAGUGGGAAUAUUGCACAAUGGCGAAAGCUGAUGCAGCGACGCGCGUGAGGGAUGACGCUCGGGUGUAAACUCUUUCAGCAGGGAGAAGCGAAAGUGACGUACUGCAGAAGAAGCGCCGGCUAACUACGUGCCAGCAGCCGCGGUAAUACGUAGGGCGCGAGCGUGUCCGGAAUUAUUGGGCGUAAAGAGCUCGUAGGCGGUCUGUCGCGUCGGAUGUGAAAGCCCGGGGCUUAACCCCGGGUCUGCAUUCGAUACGGGCAGACUAGAGUGUGGUAGGGGAGAUCGGAAUUCCUGGUGUAGCGGUGAAAUGCGCAGAUAUCAGGAGGAACACCGGUGGCGAAGGCGGAUCUCUGGGCCAUUACUGACGCUGAGGAGCGAAAGCGUGGGGAGCGAACAGGAUUAGAUACCCUGGUAGUCCACGCCGUAAACGGUGGGAACUAGGUGUUGGCGACAUUCCACGUCGUCGGUGCCGCAGCUAACGCAUUAAGUUCCCCGCCUGGGGAGUACGGCCGCAAGGCUAAAACUCAAAGGAAUUGACGGGGGCCCGCACAAGCAGCGGAGCAUGUGGCUUAAUUCGACGCAACGCGAAGAACCUUACCAAGGCUUGACAUACACCGGAAACGGCCAGAGAUGGUCGCCCCCUUGUGGUCGGUGUACAGGUGGUGCAUGGCUGUCGUCAGCUCGUGUCGUGAGAUGUUGGGUUAAGUCCCGCAACGAGCGCAACCCUUGUUCUGUGUUGCCAGCAUGCCCUUCGGGGUGAUGGGGACUCACAGGAGACUGCCGGGGUCAACUCGGAGGAAGGUGGGGACGACGUCAAGUCAUCAUGCCCCUUAUGUCUUGGGCUGCACACGUGCUACAAUGGCAGGUACAAUGAGCUGCGAAGCCGUGAGGCGGAGCGAAUCUCAAAAAGCCUGUCUCAGUUCGGAUUGGGGUCUGCAACUCGACCCCAUGAAGUCGGAGUUGCUAGUAAUCGCAGAUCAGCAUUGCUGCGGUGAAUACGUUCCCGGGCCUUGUACACACCGCCCGUCACGUCACGAAAGUCGGUAACACCCGAAGCCGGUGGCCCAACCCCUUGUGGGAGGGAGCUGUCGAAGGUGGGACUGGCGAUUGGGACGAAGUCGUAACAAGAGCUACCAUCGG
rnacentral:rRNA from 1 species